UACGUAGGGGGCAAGCGUUGUCCGGAAUUAUUGGGCGUAAAGAGCGCGUAGGCGGUCCGAUAAGUCGGCUGUGAAAGUCAGGGGCUCAACCCUUAAAGCCGGCCGAUCUGCGGACUAGAGUCCGGAAGAGGCAAGUGGAAUUCCCGGUGAGCGGUGAAAUGCGCAGAUAUCAGGAGGAACACCAUGGCGAAGGCAGCUCGCUGGGACGGUACUGACGCUGAGACGCGAA
rnacentral:rRNA from 1 species